GACCGCCAGAUACUUUCCACACG
rnacentral:snRNA from 1 species